rnacentral:rRNA from 1 species
UCUGAAUGCCGAAUAAAUGUACCCUGGGAGUCAGACGGCGGGUGCUAAGGUCCGUCGUCAAAAGGGUAAGAGCCCAGAUCGACAGCUAAGGCCUCCAAUUCCAUACUCAGUGGUGAAGGUGGUGGAGUUGUUUAGACAGCCAGGACGUUGGCUUAGAAGCAGCCAUCGUUUAAAGAAAGCGUAAUAGCUCACUGGUCUAAUGAUUCUGCGCCGAAAAUGUAACGGGGCUAAGUAUGGAGCCGAAGCUUCGGAUUUGCCUUUAUGGCAUCUGGUAGGGGAGCGUUCUCAACGGGCUGAAGCUGUGGUGAAAACCAUGGUGGACUGUUGAGAAGUGAUUAUGCUGACAUGAGUAACGAUAAAACAGGUGAAAAACCUGUUCGCCGAAAACCCAAGGUUUCCUGGGUAAAGUUAAUCUUCCCAGGGUUAGUCGGUCCCUAAGGAGAGGGCGAAAGCCGUAUCUGAUGGAAAACGGGUUAAUAUUCCCGUACUUGCAUGGAUGUGCGAUGGAGGGACGCAGCAAGAUAGGUGAUCCGGGUGUUGGAUAUCCCGGUGCAAGUGUGUAGGAGUGCGAAGCAGGCAAAUCCGUUUCGCUUAUCCGAGACACGAGUCCGAGCCGCAAGGCGGAAGUCAUUGAGUCUACACUGCCAAGAAAAGCUUCUAAGUUUAGUCCAUGUGAACCGUACUCGAAACCAACUCAGGUGGGUGGGAUGAAUAAUCCAAGGCGCUCGAGAGAAUUCUGGCUAAGGAACUCGGCAAAAUGACCCCGUAACUUCGGAAGAAGGGGUGCUCCUCUGUGUGAGUUUAUUUACUAUGCAAGCAUGAGGGAGCCGCAGUGAAUUGGUGGUGGCGACUGUUUACUAAAAACAUAGGUCUGUGCGAAGUCGCAAGACGACGUAUACGGACUGACGCCUGCCCGGUGCCGGAAGGUUAAAAGGAGAGGUCAGCGCAAGCGAAGCCUUGAAUUGAAGCCCCGGUAAACGGCGGCCGUAACUAUAACGGUCCUAAGGUAGCGAAAUUCCUUGUCGGGUAAGUUCCGACCUGCACGAAUGGCGUAACGAUCUCCACACUGUCUCGGCCAGAGACUCGGUGAAAUUGAAGUCGCGGUGAAAAUGCCGUGUACCCGCAGAAAGACGGAAAGACCCUGUGCACCUUUACUAUAGCUUGACAUUGGAUUUUGGCCCUACAUGUGUAGGAUAGGUGGGAGCCUGUGAACUCUGUACGCCAGUAUGGGGGGAGGCACUGUUGAAAUACCACCCUUUGUAUGUCUAAGAUCUAACUCCACGCAGUUAUCCUGCUGGAA